CUGCACUCGAUUAGGCAGCGAUGACAGUCGGCACCACUAAGUGCUGGGGUGUCGGGCGCUCUGGAGAGAGGUCGCCUUUCAAAGCACGCUGCAGGUUUUGCACAUCCUGCUGCUCUCCUGGGGGUGCCCGUGUGUGUUUUGGGAAGCCGGCCAGCCCAGGGUGGUGGUGAGCAUCGCCUCUCCGAGCACGAACGUGCCAGGUGAGGCUGGCCGCCUGCUCUCCCCCCCCCUGCUCGCUGCUAACCCACCGCUUGCUCACGGGACGAGGCUGCGUGGCCCCGAGCACGCCGUGGGCUGCCCAGCCCCGCAGCCGCCGUGCGAGGACCGGACGCUGCCAAGGGCACGGCACGCUUCGUUAUGUCUCAUUUACAGCUUGUUACCGGCCUCGAUCUGCAGAGAAAAGCCAUCAGGGGUGAAGGGAGGCGGCUGUCCUGACCGAGCGGCAUGGAUCUGGAGCACCCCGGGGUGUGAAGGGAGCAGGGCUGGGAUCGGUGAGCCCAGCAUCGCAUCCCCCCUGCGGCCACCCGCCUGGGCACCACCACCCCACUGCCUCCUCCUGCCUCAGCGCAGGAGCCGAUCGUGCUCUCAAAGCGUGGCAGAUGGGCCUGCGCUGAAAGAAAAUUGCCUCUGCUCCCCAGCUCGAGCAGCCGCGUUUGAUUUACUGAUUUCCUACCCCAGCUAUGCAAACGCGCUUCCCCUCUCCGCAAGCAGAGAGGCAGGCGGGCGCUGUCACGCCGGUCACCAGAUGGGCGCUAACGCCGAGCCCUGGCAGGCUGGCGUGGCCGCAGACAGCUGCCCGGAGCUCCCGGCCUCACCGCGCUCGCCCGGUUAAUAAAACCAGGUCCCAGCACUCAUUUAGGGGAAUGAGAUGCCAGCCAUGCCCUGCUCCUGCGGGCAGCCCCCCGGUGAGCACGGCAGGGGCUGGUGCUUGAUGAGCUCUCCAGGGCAGGGAGCGCAGAUGCUGCUCUUGGUGCCCCUCCAAGGCGGGCAGUGGGGUUUAGGUCUGGACGCCGUUCAAGGGAUUAUCAUUAUUUAAUUGGUGGUUUAAGCGAGUGCAGAGCCUCGCUGCCUCCUGGCACCGGCGUACGUUUUCGAACAAAGGUGUUGGAAAAAAAGCAAAGCGCUGCGUUGAAAGGAGCCGAGCCCGCUGCCCGUCGUCCGGCAAGGCAGCGCCGUGGCAGGGCGCUGGGCAUGGGCACGGCAUUGCACAGCAGCCACCCAUCAACCUGGGGUGCUGGAGGAAAAUUUGCGCUCUCCAGCUGAGGGCUAAUUUAGCCAGUUUGUGCUGAGAUCUGAAGGAGGCGGCAGCUUCCCCUCUUGCUCCACCCGGGGCAUUUCUGGAGCACUCCUUUACUUCAUUAGAUGUUUGACCAGACAACCCCCCUGCCCAGGUAAAAACAGCAAAAUAUUUCUCUCCUUCCCAGCGUCGACCUUUGCCAGGGCUCUGUUUUACUGCAGCACUGCGGGGCGUCAUUAACUCUCAGUGCACCUUCUCAUUAGGUAUUUGAGUUAUCUUUCACCAGGAGGGAAACUGAGGCACGGGCAGCCCCUUCCCUGCCGUGAGCCUCCCCCUGCAGCGAGGGCAAGGCAGAGCAGCUCACCCCCGCGGCUGCUGCAUGCCACCACCUCCCCGGGGCACUUGCUAUAUCAGAUUAAAUAAGCACUGCCGCAAAUAUGCCAAUCAUCAGAUAACACGAAAUAAUAAAGGAAAUAAAACACUCCA
rnacentral:lncRNA from 1 species